GUCGGCCAGAAUUCAAUGAGGCUUGGAGAAAGAAUAUGCCAGAAUGCCUUUGCCCUUUUAAAGAAGAGGAGGCCAGUGCUGUGUUCCAGAUCGCAAGAUGCUGUGUCUACAGGGCCAACAAGGCUCAGUCAUCUCUGAAGGCAGUGACAAUCUGGAAUUCCAAUUCAGAACUUCCAGAUUUCAAAAUCCUUCUUUGCCUUAUACCACGGAUGUUUCCAAAUAAAAUACAAAGCAACAUUAUUGAAUAUUGAGUGAUGGGUGAUUUCACAAAGUGAAAUGAGACAGUAUUUCUCGUCACUUCUGAUCACACAGAAUCAACACAGAGAAACCAGACAAAGGAAACUGCUGCCUAAAACAGAACAUGCCAUCUUUUUAUGUCACAGCUGGAGCUAGUAUUGUUUUAAACAGAUAAAAGGUGGAAUUGAGGACUGAAUUUGGAUGAAGCUCUCAGAUCACCCAACAAAUGAUGCUUUCUCAUCUCCCUCAGACAGGCCUACUGGCCCCGUACAUGAGCUCUGAAGAGGUUCCUAAGGAGAAGGGGGUGGGAGUUAAGACAAGCAAGGGGCAUUAGGAGAAUCUGGAAGCAGAACUUAGAGACUGGAAUUCUGGAGCAAGACUCCACAUGGGAAGUGAUGCAAAGGGGUCUAGACAGGAAUUUAGCAAUAAUACUGGGCUAUGAAAGAAUGUGGAGAGUGGUGACAGAGAUUGGGAGAGCAGUGUCUGAGACUGGGGUCUCUGAUGACCUCAUGGCUGUGGCAAGCCUGCUGCCUGGGAAUGUUCCUGUGCAAGGGUGCAGGAUGCCUAGAUGCUGUGGCCAUGCCCUCCAUGAGGAGGUUCGGUGGAAGAGUUUUAUCAGUCUUGACCUUGAUCUCAGGGACAUAGUUCCUGGAAAUGGAGGAACUCUCCUGCUAGACAACCACAAUAUUUCACCAGCUCCACUACUUCCAAAGCUGCCCUCUUAACAAUAACUAAACAAUGGAUUUUCUUGAAAGCUACACAAAGCUCCUAACAUUGCACAUUGCAACUGUAAACUGCAACUGCAGAAAAGCCACAUAAAUGUUUCUAGCCCUGUAACUUUCUGAGUACAAAGAAUAAUGAGACAUAUAUAAAUAAAAAUUGCUGGCAUAACUCUUUAGAUCUACUUCUCUAUCAGAGAGAAGCACUCCACCUGGUCCCAGCUAUUUAACUUCAAAAUCUGUGCUUGUGAGUCUUUAUUUUCUAAUCCUCCAUAGCCUCUCCCAGAACCUGCUAGAUUGGCCUACUGGUAGUGGCAAUGRAGGUCAGAAAUAAGAGCAAGAGUGAAA